rnacentral:rRNA from 1 species
UGCAGUCGAACGAUGAACCUCACUUGUGGGGGGAUUAGUGGCGAACGGGUGAGUAACACGUGAGUAACCUGCCCUUGACUCUGGGAUAAGCCUGGGAAACCGGGUCUAAUACUGGAUACGACCUUCUGGCGCAUGCCAUGUUGGUGGAAAGCUUUUGUGGUUUUGGAUGGACUCGCGGCCUAUCAGCUUGUUGGUGGGGUAAUGGCCUACCAAGGCGACGACGGGUAGCCGGCCUGAGAGGGUGACCGGCCACACUGGGACUGAGACACGGCCCAGACUCCUACGGGAGGCAGCAGUGGGGAAUAUUGCACAAUGGGCGCAAGCCUGAUGCAGCGACGCCGCGUGAGGGAUGAAGGCCUUCGGGUUGUAAACCUCUUUCAGUAGGGAAGAAGCCGGCCUUUGGGUUGGUGACGGUACCUGCAGAAGAAGCGCCGGCUAACUACGUGCCAGCAGCCGCGGUAAUACGUAGGGCGCAAGCGUUAUCCGGAAUUAUUGGGCGUAAAGAGCUCGUAGGCGGUUUGUCGCGUCUGCCGUGAAAGUCCGGGGCUUAACCCCGGAUCUGCGGUGGGUACGGGCAGACUAGAGUGCAGUAGGGGAGACUGGAAUUCCUGGUGUAGCGGUGAAAUGCGCAGAUAUCAGGAGGAACACCGAUGGCGAAGGCAGGUCUCUGGGCUGUAACUGACGCUGAGGAGCGAAAGCAUGGGGAGCGAACAGGAUUAGAUACCCUGGUAGUCCAUGCCGUAAACGUUGGGCACUAGGUGUG